UCAGCCCCCUGGGACUGAGACACGGCCCAGAUUCCUACGGGAGGCAGCAGUGGGAAUAUUGGACAAUGGGCGAAAGCCUGAUCCAGCAAUACCGAGUGAGUGAUGAAGGCCUUAGGGUUGUAAAGCUCUUUUAGCAAGGAAGAUAAUGACGUUACUUGCAGAAAAAGCCCCGGCUAACUCCGUGCCAGCAGCCGCGGUAAGACGGAGGGGGCUAGCGUUGUUCGGAAUUACUGGGCGUAAAGAGUGCGUAGGCGGUUUAGUAAGUUGGAAGUGAAAGCCCGGGGCUUAACCUCGGAAUUGCUUUCAAAACUACUAAUCUAGAGUGUAGUAGGGGAUGAUGGAAUUCCUAGUGUAGAGGUGAAAUUCUUAGAUAUUAGGAGGAACACCGGUGGCGAAGGCGGUCAUCUGGGCUACAACUGACGCUAAUGCACGAAAGCGUGGGGAGCAAACAGGAUUAGAUACCCUGGUAGUCCACGCCGUAAACGAUGAGUGCUAGAUGUCGGAAGAUUCUCUUUCGGUUUCGCAGCUAACGCAUUAAGCACUCCGCCUGGAGAGUACGGUCGCAAGAUUAAAACUCAAAGGAAUUGACGGGGGCUCGCACAAGCGGUGGAGCAUGCGGUUUAAUUCGAUGUUACGCGAAAAACCUUACCAACCCUUGACAUGGUGGUCGCGGAUCGCAGAGAUGCUUUCCUUCAGCUCGGCUGGGACCGCACACAGGUGUUGCACGGCUGUCGUCAGCUCGUGUCGUGAGAUGUUGGGUUAAGUCCCGCAACGAGCGCAACCCUCAUUCUUAUUUGCCAGCGGGUAAUGCCGGGAACUAUAAGAAAACUGCUGGUGAUAAGCCAGAGGAAGGUGGGGACGACGUCAAGUCAUCAUGGCCCUUACGGGUUGGGCUACACGCGUGCUACAAUGGUGUUUACAGAGGGAAGCAAGACGGCGACGUGGAGCAAAUCCCUAAAAGACAUCUCAGUUCGGAUUGUUCUCUGCAACUCGAGAGCAUGAAGUUGGAAUCGCUAGUAAUCGCGGAUCAGCAUGCCGCGGUGAAUACGUUCUCGGGCCUUGUACACACUGCCCGUCACGCCAUGGGAGUUGGUUUUACCUGAAGGUGGUGAGCUAACGCAAGAGGCAGCCAACCACGGUAAAAUUAGCGACUGGGGUGAAGUCGUAAGCAAGACUUCGCCCC
rnacentral:rRNA from 1 species